CCCUUAGACGUUCUGGGCCGCACGCGCGCUACACUGACCAGUGCAACAAGCAUCCGUCCUUGGCCGACAGGCCCGGGCAAUCUUUGAACGCUGGUCGUGAUGGGGAUAGACUUUUGCAAUUUUUGGUCUUCAACGAGGAAUUCCUAGUAAACGCAAGUCAUCAACUUGCAUUGAUUACGUCCCUGCCCUUUGUACACACCGCCCGUCGCACCUACCGAUUGAAUGGUCCGGUGAAGCCUCCGGAUUGGCGCGCACCUCGGUGCCGCCGAGAAGUUGGCUAAACCUUACCAUUUAGAGGAAGGUGAAGUCGUAAUA
rnacentral:rRNA from 1 species